rnacentral:lncRNA from 10 species
CUUACUCCGGAGACUUGGCUGUGACUUCUCAGGUGAUUCCAUGAGAUGUAAGUGGCCCCAGAGUGAGGGCCCAUUGGAGAAUGCAAAUGCAUCCUGGUAUCGGCUUUCUUUGCUUCCUGCUCUCUCUGUCCUCAGCCCUGCUGCCUGGAAUCACCCUUUCAAAGAAACUUACUCUCACAUAAGCCUCUAUCUCAGGCUCUACUCUGGGUAACCCAGGCUAGAAAAACAGACCAAGAGAGUGAGAAGGAGAUGGAGAUGUCUUCCUUGGAGGGCUUCUUGAAUUCAGCAAGUCGGGGCAGGAAACAGGGGCUUCUCAGAACACAUGGAUUAAACUGGUCUUACAGUUUUUUUGGAGGAAUAUCACAGAGACAAAGUGCCGUUUUCACCUGAUCAUCUAAAGGCUACAAGAUCUAGGCAAGAAAUGGCAAACCUGGUGUUUCUUCACCUUGGACUUUUCUCAGUAUCUCUGUGCCUGUUUCAGUCAUGAGCAAAGUUCAAUGACAAACCAAGGAAAUGGGCCAAGCCGGUCUGGAGACUGAUGCUCCAAACAGCUGCCAGCACACGUACCUCUCCUGUCUGCUCCAAUCACUCGAUUCUCAUUUCCCCAUAAGCCCCUUCGCCUCCCUCAGCAGCCCCAGGACUCCCCGUGACUCUGUGAUCUCCACAAUCACUAGUGAAGGCUAGGACAACAACAAGCUUUUAUCAUCAUAUUCACCCCUUGCCAACAAAGCUGAAUGGUGCCCAGUUCUUUGAAACUUUCCUUUAGUCCUUGCCGCUGUGAUGGAUGAGCCUUCUCAUCAUGUGCUUUGUUUUAAGCUACCACAGAUCCAAACGCUAGUCUCUGCAGAUGAGAAAAGACAGGGGCAAAUACAUUUACUUUAUGAGGUUGUUCACAGUCCAUAAAACAUUCAGUUGAAAAAGGAUUUUUUUUUUUCAGACAGAGUCUCACUCUGUCACCCAGGCUGGAGUGCAGUGGCACAAUCUCGGCUCACUGCAACCUCCACCUCUUGGGUUCAAGCGAUUCUUCUGCCUCAGCCUCCUGAAUAGCUGGGAUUACAGGUGCCUGCCACCACGCCUGGCUAAUUUUUGUAUUUUCUCUUCAAAUCAAAAUUAAUAGCAGAAGAGGAAGAUGAGAAGUUGGAUACACUCUUCAAAGAAGCUCCUCGGAUAAGGAUUUAGGAUUCAAAACUCUGUGCCUCUGGUGUUUUUUCAAAACAGCAGACUUCCUUUUCUUAAAUUAUUCUUUGUUUUUGCUUUCUUAAAUUAUUUCACCAUUUUUCCCCUCUAAAUAAGAAUUGAAAAAAAUGGAAAGAAAAGAGUCAAGAAUAAGGAGAGUAUGUCACAUUGCAUGCCUAUAUCAAAACAUCUCAUGUACCCCAUGAAUAUGUAUACCUGCUAUGUACCCACAAAAAUAAAAGUAAAAUAAAAUAUAAAGAAAACAGGAGUGGAAGUAGAAAUAAAACAAGAGGGAGAAAUUAAUUACCAACUUGGGAGAAAAUAGAAACCAUGUGUAGAAGCAAGUUUCAUGUUUGCCUUACUUGGUUUUCUUCUGUGGGAACAAGACAAAUGGAAAAGUUCCAGAGAAUUCACCCUGGAAGUGAACAUUCCCAUCUUCUCUGAAAACUUACCUGCAAAUGGCUUUUACAGCCUUUUCCUGAGAAUGCAGAGAUCAGUACUCCCAGAGGUACUGAAAGAAGACACGUUUCACUGCUUUCUAAAGAACUUCUGACUGGGCAUGAAGGAGUGAACCAACUGAUCAGGAAAUUGCCAGUCUUCAAAAGGCCUCAUUGCCAGUGGAAAGAGGAGAAACAGAAAAAAAUGACCCUGCAGAAAGCAAAUGCUCUGAUGAUUCAUGCAUUAUUUGCAAUUUUUUUGAAUAAGAGCUAAAAACUAAACACUACUUGAGGCUGGGAAUUUCUCUGGGGGAAAGAAUAAAGAGUUAUUUCCCUCUCAGGACAACACCUAAUAUUUGCACAGCACGGUAAAGUAAUUUUCACAAGUAUUAUUUUGUUUGUGCAUUUUCAUCCUCAGGCUGAAUUAAGCCUCAGUUUUCAUUUUUGAUUGAAUCUGUCUUUGCUGAUAGAAGUUUUCUGGGUGACCCAGACAGUCCUCAGUAUGAGAUAAUGUGAUGGAGGAUGCAGUGAAUCAAUCACGUCUCUGCUGGAAUUGCUUUCUGGAGACUUUGAGAUGUCAGGGUUGAAAUGUCACACAGGAGGUCACUGGGCUGGUAGAUAACUGGAGAUAUGACUCCAUGAAGGCAUUGCUUAUCCAUGUUCCAAGCAUAUCUGGCUUCUUUUGAGAGGUAAAUAGGGAUGGAUGAAGAGGAGGAGAGUUAGUCCUGAAUUUGUACCCUGGCUCUGCCACUUACCAGCUCUACUGCUCUUGCUAGGGAGAUCAUGUUAACAUAUUAACGCCAAUAAUAAUCACUGAAGGUUAUGAGUCCUAUAAAGUAAGUAGCAUUCGCCCUAUUUUAUAGAAGAGGAUACAGCAUCAGAAAAGUUAAUUGCUUUCCCUAAGUUCCCUGGGCACAUUUAUUUCUUUAUUUUUAUUUUUUCAUUAUACUUUAAGUUCUGGGGUACAUGUGCACAACAUGCAGGUUUGUUACACAUGUAUACAUGUGCCAUGUUGGUGUGCUGCACCCAUUAACUCGUCAUUUACAUUAGGUAUUUCUCCUAAUGCUUCCCACCCACCUCCCCCACCUCAUGACAGGCCCCGGUGUUUAAUGUUCCCCACCCUGUGUUCAAAUGUUCUCAUUGUUCAAUUCCCACCUAUGAGCGAGAAUAUGUGGUGUUUGUUUUUCUGUCCUUGUGAUAGUUUGCUCAGAAUGAUGGUUUGCAGCUUCAUCCACAUCCCUACAAAGGACAUGAACUCAUCCUUUUUCAUGGCUGCAUAGUAUUCCAUGGUGUUUAUGUGCCACAUUUUCUUAAUCCAGUCUAUCACUGAUGGACAUUUGGGUUGCUUCCAAGUCUUUGGUAUGGUGAAUAGUGCCACAAUAAACAUACGUG